ACUACAUGAAGCUGGAAUCGCUAGUAAUCGCGAAUCAGAAUGUCGCGGUGAAUACGUUCCCGGGUCUUGUACACACCGCCCGUCACACCAUGGGAGUCAGUAACGCCCGAAGCCGGUGACCCCAACCAAUUCAGGAGGGAGCCGUCGAAGGUGGGACCGAUAACUGGGGUGAAGUCGUAACAAGGUACC
rnacentral:rRNA from 1 species